GGGGACACACUGUUUUGUUAAUAAAACCUUUCUUUUAGGGGAAGAGGUCGCCUUGUACUGUGCCAAAUAUCUUCCUGAUAUUAUCAAAGAUCAGAAGGCCUACAAGGAAGGCAAGCUUCAGAAGGCUUUACAAGAUGCCUUCUUGGCUAUCGAUGCCAAGCUGACUACAGAUGAAGUCAUUAAGGAACUGGCGCAGAUUGCAGGGAGACCCACUGAAGAUGAGGAUGAUAAAGAAAAAGUAGCAGAUGAGGAUGAUGGUGAGUGUGGCAUCUGUGUUAGAAGGAAAUGAGCAGUUGAUUAUCAGUUCUGAGAAAUGAUGGCUUCCCAGGGACCUGGGGAAUUGUCCCAUAAAAGGAUAUACAAGAAUCAACUAAGCUGGCUUAUGGGGGCCCACAGAGGCUGAACCAACAAUCAGGGAGCCUGCAUAGGACUGACCUAGGCCCCCGCAUAUAUGUUACAGUUGAGCACCUUGGACUUGUGAGAUUUCUAACACUGGGACCAGCGGCUGUCUCUGACUCCUGCUGGCCCUGGAGACCCUUUUCCUCAUUCUAGGUUGCCUUUUCCAGCCUUUAUAAGAGGGGAGGUGCCUAGUCUUGUUGCAGCUUGAUAUGUCAUGUUUAUGUUUGUUUGAUAGCCUUGGGGUGCCUGCCCUUUUCUGAAGAAAAACAGAAGGAAUGGAUAUCAGUGGAGGCACUGUGAGGAAAGGUGGGAGGGAACACUUCAGUCAGGAUAUAAAAAGUAAAAUAAGAAAAGAACCCUGGGGUUGGGGAUUUAGCUCAAUGGUUUCCGGUCCCCAGCUCCGGAAAAAAGAAAAGAAAAGAAAAAAAAAAAAAAAAAGACUAGAUCAUACCUUGAAUAAAUGAAAGUCAUUAUUU
rnacentral:lncRNA from 1 species